rnacentral:rRNA from 1 species
UACGUAGGGGGCGAGCGUUGUCCGGAUUUAUUGGGCGUAAAGAGCUCGUAGGCGGUUCGAUAAGUCGGACGUGAAAUCUCCACGCUCAACGUGGAGGGGCCGUUCGAUACUGUCGUGACUCGAGUCCGGUAGGGGAGUGUGGAAUUCCCGGUGUAGCGGUGAAAUGCGCAGAGAUGGGAGGAACACCCGUAGCGAAGGCGGCACUCUGGGCCGGUACUGACGCUGAGGAGCGAAAGCGUGGGGAGCAAACAGGG